ACGGAGGUAAAGAAAGUGAGGCAGAUGAAGAUUUUGUUGCCUUCACUGAUACCCACCUCCAAAAUAAACCAGCAAAGAGAACAUCUGGGGUCUGCAGUGACAAACCACAGAUGACUGCAUUUGCUAACAUUC
rnacentral:scRNA from 1 species